ACUUCGAAAGGGGUGCUAAUACCGCAUGAACUUAAUAUAUGACAUCAUAUAAUAAGUAAAGGUAGUAGAACAGCGUAGCUAUCGAUAAAUGAGAUUCUCAUGUCCUAUCAGCUAGUUGGUAAGGUAAUGGCUUACCAAGGCGACGACGGGUAGUUGGUCUGAGAGGAUGACCAGCCACACUGGAACUGAGACACGGUCCAGACUCCUACGGGAGGCAGCAGUGAGGAAUAUUGCGCAAUGGGGGAAACCCUGACGCAGCGACGCCGCGUGGACGAUGAAGCCUUUAGGGGUGUAAAGUCCCUUCGUAAGGGAAGAAAAAGAUAUAUAGGAAAUGAUAUAUAAUUGACGGUACCUUAAGAAGAAGCCCCGGCUAACUACGUGCCAGCAGCCGCGGUAAUACGUAGGGGGCAAGCGUUAUCCGGAAUUACUGGGUGUAAAGGGCGUGUAGGCGGUUAAGUAAGUCAGAUGUGAAAUUUCAGGGCUCAACCUUGAAACUGCAUUUGAAACUGCAUAACUAGAGUACAGGAGAGGAAAGCGGAAUUUCCGGUGGAGCGGUGAAAUGCAUAGAUAUCGGAAGGAACACCAGUGGCGAAGGCGGCUUUCUGGACUGUAACUGACGCUGAGACGCGAAAGCGUGGGGAGCGAACAGGAUUAGAGACCCUGGUAGUCCACGCCGUAAACGAUGGAUACUAGGUGUAGGGAGGAAAAAAUCUCUCUGUGCCGGAGUUAACGCAUUAAGUAUCCCACCUGGGGACUACGAGCGCAAGCUUAAAACUCAAAGGAAUUGACGGGGGCCCGCACAAGCGGUGGAGCAUGUGGUUUAAUUCGAUGCAACGCGAAGAACCUUACCUAGAUUUGACAUUAUAGUGCAAUCUAUAGAGAUAUAGAGUUCCUUUCGGGGACGCUAUAACAGGUGCUGCAUGGCUGUCGUCAGCUCGUGUCGUGAGAUGUUGGCUUAAGUGCCGCAACGAGCGCAACCCGUGUCAUUAGUUGCCAGCGAGUAAUGUCGGGAACUCUAGUGAGACUGCCGGUGAUAAACCGGAGGAAGGUGCGGAUGACGUCAAGUCCUCAUGGCCUUUAUGUCUAGGGCUACACACGUGCUGCAAUGGUUGAUACAGAGGGCAGCGAACUCGUGAGGGUAAGCAAAUCCCAAAAAGUCAGCCCAAGUUCGGAUUGCAGUCUGCAACUCGACUGCAUGAAGUUGGAAUCGCUAGUAAUCGCGGAUCAGCAAUGCCGCGGUGAAUACGUUCUCGGGCCUUGUACACACCGCCCGUCACACCACGAAAGUUGGUAACACCCGAAGAAGCCGAGCUAAUCUGAAUUUAUUUGGAAGGCAAGUUUCUAAGGUGGGAUCGAUAAUUGGGGUGAAGUCGUAACAAGGUAGCGGUAGGGGAACCUGCUGCUG
rnacentral:rRNA from 1 species